UACGUAGGGGGCAAGCGUUGUCCGGAAUUAUUGGGCGUAAAGAGCUCGUAGGCGGUUUGUUGCGUCGGCUGUGAAAUCCCGGGGCUUAACCCCGGGCGUGCAGUGGAUACGGGCUGGCUAGAGGCAGGCAGGGGAGAACGGAAUUCCCGGUGUAGCGGUGAAAUGCGCAGAUAUCAGGAGGAACACCGAUGGCGAAGGCAGGUCUCUGGGCAUUAACUGACGCUGAGGAGCGAAAGCAUGGGGAGCGAACAGG
rnacentral:rRNA from 1 species